rnacentral:rRNA from 1 species
UACGUAGGGGGCUAGCGUUGUCCGGAAUUAUUGGGCGUAAAGAGCUCGUAGGCGGUCUGUCGCGUCUGCUGUGAAAACUCGGGGCUUAACCCCGGGCCUGCAGUGGGUACGGGCAGACUAGAGUGCGGCAGGGGAGAGUGGAAUUCCUGGUGUAGCGGUGAAAUGCGCAGAUAUCAGGAAGAACACCCGUGGCUAAGGCGGCUCUCUAGUACGGUACUGACGCUGAGACGCGAAAGCGUGGGGAGCGAACAGG